CCGCUUGGCAGCGCCCCCUUCCCUCUUGUCCGAGGGGCAGAGGCGCGUUUGCGCCGUUGGGGAACCGUUUGGAAUCCGGCCUCCGGCGCGGACGCCUCAUGGAGCCGGAGAGGGCGAGGACCGGGGGGCUCCCCAAGAAGGGCAGGAAGAGGAGGCGGGCCCCCAACAAGCUGGUCGGGGCGGCCGAGGCGAUGAGAGCCCGCUGGGAACUUGAGGAGAGGCGGCCCGGGGCCAAG